rnacentral:rRNA from 1 species
GAUGAACGCUCGCGAUAGGCUUAACACAUGCAAGUCGAGGGGCAGCACAAGGUAGCUUGCUAUCUGGGUGGCGACCGGCGCACGGGUGCGUAACGCGUAUGCAACUUGCCCUAUACAGGAGGAUAACCCGUCGAAAGACGGACUAAUACUGCGUAUGCUCACAACUUGGCAUCAAGUGGUGAGGAAAGCAAUUCGGUAUAGGAUAGGCAUGCGUCCCAUUAGCUUGUUGGUGAGGUAACGGCUCACCAAGGCAACGAUGGGUAGGGGAACUGAGAGGUUUAUCCCCCACACUGGUACUGAGACACGGACCCGACUCCUACGGGAGGAGCAGUGAGGAAUAUAGGUGAAGGGGCGCGAGCCUGAACCAGCCAAGUCGCGUGAAGGAUGACUGUCUUAGGGAUUGUAAACUUCUUUUAUACGGGAAUAACAAGAGUCACGGGUGACUCCCUGCAUGUACCGGAUGAAUAAGCAUCGGCUAACUCCGUG